rnacentral:tRNA from 1 species
GGCCCCAUCGUCUAGUGGUCUAGGAUAUCUGGUUCUCAUCCAGAAGAUCAUGGGUUCGAAUCCCAUUGGGGCCG